ACGCUCGACACCUACGGAGGCAGCAGUGGGGAAUAUUGCACAAUGGGGGAAACCCUGAUGCAGCGACGCCGCGUGGAGGAAGAAGGUCUUCGGAUUGUAGACUCCUGUUGUUGGGGAAAAGAGGAUGGUACCCAACAAGGAAGUGACGGCUAACUACGUGUCAGCAGCCGCGGUAAUCUGAGCGGGCUGGCAAGGC
rnacentral:rRNA from 1 species